AAAGAUGGCGGGAUGGCGGGAGAAAAUGAUUGUUAGGCUUGCGGAAAUUGAAAAAGAGCUUUCAAUCGGUUGAACAAAAACGAGAUGCGAUAUUCCAGUCGAUUGACACAGUAAUGUUAAGAGUCCAAGAUGUAAAGCGUCAUUUAUAACUGCGCUUUCUUGUAAGAUCUUGUCUGUGGAACCUGAAAAGAACAGCGCAUAGGAUCGCAAACCUCUUAAUUACACGCCAUGUCAUCGAUCAUUCUUCUUGUUGGGCAGUGUGGUAAUCAAGUAGGACAUGAACUAAUGAGCUUGAUUGACAAGAGUGACACCCACCCACUUAGCCACAGGGAUGGCAAACUAAGAUGUGUCUGUGUGGACAGCGAAACCAAGGUCAUUAACCAUAAUUAUCGCGAAGACACAAGAUCAGGAAGAUUGUAUAGGGAAGGAAAUAUGAUCUCAGGUCAGCGAGGAAGAGGAAAUAACUGGGCAUUAGGUUAUCAUGGCCUGAGUGGAGAAACAGAAGAAACAUCCUUGUUACACAGGGCCAUGGAAACUGUGAGAAAAGAAGUAGAAAGGUGUGAUAACUAUGCUGGCACUAUUGUGAUCCAUAGUCUCACUGGUGGUACUGGCUCUGGUUUGGGAUCAUGCCUGGUUGAGAGAAUAAGGGACACAUAUCCCUUGGCUCAUGUCAUGUCUGUUGCUGUAUCACCUCACUCAUCUGGUGACAGUCCACUGCAACAUUACAACUCACUUCUCAGUUUGUCAUCCUUACAGCGUCAUGCAGAUGGAGUGUUACUCUUCAGCAAUGAUGAUGUUCUCCACCAUAUCACAGCACACACUGGUCUGCUAUCACGCCAGAAGCCUUCUGGCUCCAUCUCUCUCAGAGACAUGAACAAUUACAUCUCCGCAAGUCUUGCUGGCGUGUUCCAACCUUUGGGAAGCAAGCCAAGACGGAUAAAGGGAAGACUUAAGGAGAAGGGGUUUAAGGGAGGUGUAGAUGUAACCAAUGACAAGAAAGAAAAGAAAAAAAUUCUUAAAGGUGGAGGAAUAUCAAAUAAAACGGACACUAUUUCUAAGAAGCUUUCAUUUUCAUUGGAUGAAUCAUGGGACAGAUCUGAUGUCGGUCAUUACAAGUCUGUGUUUGGUAGAAGUCUUGGCUCUGCAACUUCCUCAUCAGUUAUGUCUGAUGACCACUUUGUGGAUACGUCGUCUUUUACAUCUGAGUUAGAUGGCUACACUGAGAUGACUAGACAACCCAGGUCAACAGCUUCAGCACUGUUACGCUACAGAGGUAUUGUAAAUCCUUCCUCUUCAGAGACCCGCAUGUCCAAGAGUGACACCUGUCUAUCAUCCCAACUGGCAGCUGGUGUUUCAAGUGGCAAUGAGCCAUGGGAGAUGCUUCGGUCUGUUUGUGCCGAGCCAUCAAAGAAAUUUGCCACAGUGCAUCACAUUGCCAAGUCAAAAGUUUCCUGGGAAAGCCUUGCACAGUCUCUCAUACACUCGAUCCGCAGAUAUGAUAGACAGGGAAUGCCAUUCUCUACCAUAUGUUCACUGUUAGUUGCUCGUGGAGAUCAUGAAGGCUCUUUUGCAGAGGUGUGGACAAAAAUUGAAGAUAAGCUGCGAAAUUCACUAUCAUGUGUGGAGUGGAAUCCAUUUCCAGUUGAUUUCUGGAUCAGUCAAUAUAAUCCCGUUGGUCCCAAAGAUUCUCAGUCACUCACUUUGUGCUUGAACUCAACAAAGGUUGUAGAGACAUUAGAGGAUGUCAUGGUAAAAUCAAGAGCAAUGUAUGAUGCUGGAGCUUACCUUCAUUGGUUCUGGAAGCAUGGUUGUUCUAAGAGUGAUUUCAUGGACGCUUUUGACACUCUGGACUCUGUUGUGGAGGAAUACAAGUCGGCGGCGAGAUAACUAAAACCCAUAGCUCCCCCAGUAAGAACGCGGAAGUUUAGGAAACAGAAGGAGAGAUCGAUUUGUCUGUGAGCAAAAUGAACAAAGUAGCACCUUCCCCCUACCCAGAAGUUGGUAAUCGCGUAGACGAUCGCAGAGAUGAUGUGAUCAAAGUAGCACCUGCCCCCUACCCAGAGGUUGGUAAUCGCGUAGACGAUCGCAGAGAUGAUGUGAUCAAAGUAGUAACUGCCCCCUUCCCAGAAGCUGGUAAUCGCGCAGACGAUCGCAGAGAUGAUGAUUUUAUUGCGUGCUGUUCUAAUUUUUGGGAUUGUUGCACUCAGAGUAUGAAGGUGGUACAAACGUGCCUCGAUAUCGUCAAGUGUAUUACAUGUAGCUGUGGUUGAAGCUGUGGCUGCCAGAAAAAGGUUUUGUUGGCCUAGCUUCUCAGUGUAGUUAUCAGUAUUUGAUCGGGUGCAUUACCAUUGACGACUGUAAUAGAUUUUUUUUGUGUGUGUUGUUGUCUGAAUGUCUUAUGUAUAGAUCUGACUUUAAACUGGAAAGCAUAGCCAAAUGAGUGUCUCAUAAGUAGAUAUGUUACUAAACUGGGAUAACAUAACCAAAUGGAACACAAAGAAGUCACCCUACAAUCCUCUCCAAAAGCCUUGGAAUACUUACUUCCAUGUGGGUCAACUUUAUUACCAGUAAAUGAUCAUGUUUUACUACUUUCUUUGCCAUCUGUCCCGAAACAAUAUUCGGACUUGGGUCGAGUCAACUGACGCCCACAGGGACAACAUUUUAAGGAGUGGGGGAGGGGAAGGCAUUUGAAUUACAGUUGACUCCCGGUUACUCGAACUACCGCUAACUCGAAUCUCGCGCUAACUCGCACCAAAAUUGAUUUCCCUGGAUUAGUCCGUUACAUUGACUACAAUUGUACUCGAGCUUCUUGGCUAAAGUGCAGAACAGUACUCUUUUUCGAUCUUUUGUUUCAUUUUGUUAGCAAAAUAUCGUUCCGUUUUUAAGUUUGUAUUCGUAAUGACCCUGACUAAACACAUUGUUUGAAGACUAAUUAAACAUGUGCGUAAAACAUUGUUUCCCCGCUAAUGUUUAGUCAUUUCUGUCACUUCUAACAUUACUCAAAAGUUUUAACAUUUGUUUUGACGGUUCUAGUUACCGGAAAUCAACUGUUAUUGUACUCGUGGGAAGAGACUAGCUUGACACUGAGACUUGUGGCGGGGAUUGUAGCUUGUAAAAACACAUAUACCACCUUGUACUGCAAAGGUUUUUAUACUGCAUGGUAUUCUAGAGAAUAGCUGAUGUUCACAUAACAAUGAAGAACCUCAGUUCGAUGUAACUUUGUUUUAUAUUCGCUAAUUCACAUUUGCAAUCAAGCUAUGCUGGUUUGGAAUAAACUUAGUCUGGAAGUAGAGUCUUGUUUGAGAGUUUGUGGUCCGUUUGAAGUCAGGUCGCUGCAGGCCUUCAGAUUCUGGGUAUCAAAACAUUGAUCUCUACCUCCUCCUAGGACCUCAGGCGUUUCGCAGACACUGAGAACGAGCGCCUAGCGCAAAGGACUACGGGAAGAGGAAAGAAGCGAGCCCAACACCAUCUUUUUCCCUUUCGCAAUCCCUUCCUCCCUUGCGCGCCCAUUGGUUUUUUUCAGCAAAGAGGGUGUGGGUACAAGACAGGAUCUCUACUGUCCUAUAGUGUUUAGUGAGGUUUACAAAUUUGGAUGGGAGCCUUUAGGUUCCGGGUCUUGGGGCACGAUCCCUUAGGAAAUUUACUUUCGUUCCGGCUCGAAAUUGGGAGGGGGGUUGCAGCCCCUACUCCCAAAUCUCCGCCGUCCUUAGCUUUUCCAAUAUCAAACCUUACUCUACAAGUAUUGAACACAAUAAAAACAAGCAAAAAGAAUCAGGAUAUUUACCACGAGAUAAAUUAAAAUAUUUACAAUUCAAGUUGCUUUCUAUGGCGCGUGUAACUUGCAUUUAGUUAGCUUUCAAGCUAUAGAAUUCGUGGACCAACCCGUUCCGAAAACGCUCGGCAUCUCUGAAUGCGAGAUUAGCGUAAAAGGAUGAUUCUUUUCAAAGCUUUCUUCAGAAAACACAGCAUUCUGUCAAUUACGUUGUUCACGAAGAGCAAGCACACGAUUAUUCUCAUCCCCAGGCGAGUUUCCACGCUCUCCGCUAGGAACGCCCGGAACCAUGACCCAAGAAGAAGCCCGAGUAAUAAAGCACCGAGAACAGAUGCUGUAAUAGCCGUACAAAAAGAACGAGCGAGGAUUGGAGGAGUUAAAGAGGAAACUGGAGAGAGACCCUAAUUUUCAUUUCUGUCACGUAACGCAAUCAACUCAAAAUCAAUAUCAAAGGGUGGGGUGAGGUUUUCCUUCAUAACCGAGCCCGAGGCUCAUGUUUUGCAAAACGAAUAACUCUAUCAAGCAAAAAAAUUGCAAAACGUCAAGUUCUUAGGAGGCUUUCAAUGCUAUAAAGCUAAAAAGCUUAGAAAUAUAGGUCGUUGUUAUUUUGAAACUGACCACGUCACGUGAAAAUAGACCUCAUUCUCAAAAGAUGCCGUGAGGAUUUUCAUUGAUUAUAAUU